GUGAAACUGCUUUUUGAUGUGUGUAUUCCUGACAGAGUAACAUCUUUUUUUCUUUCGGAAGGUUGGAAACACUCUAUUUGUAGAAUUGGUGAAAAGGCAUUUUGGAGUAAAUUGAGGCCCACAGUGAAAAAAUGAAUAUCCCCUCAUAAAACAUAGACAGAAACUACCUGUGAAACUGCUUUGGGAUGUGAGGAUUCAACUCACAGAGUUACACUUUUUUUUUGAUUUAGCAAUUUGGGCAAACUUUUUUUGGAAAAUCUGUAAAGGAACAUUCAGGAGUGAUUGAGUCUUACGGUGAAAACCAGAAUAUCCCCAGCAGGUUGGAAGCGCUCAUUUUGUAGAAUCUGCCAAGAAACAUUUUGGAGGCCACCUAUAAUUAAAAACCGAAUAUUGCAAGAUACGAACUAGAAAGAAGAUAUCUGUGAAACUGCUUUGUGAUUUCUGGGUUCAUCUCAUAUAUGUUGGAAAUACUCUUCUGAGAGAAUCUACCAAGAGACAUUUUGGAGUCCAUUGAGGCUUGUAAUGAAAAAGUGAAUAUCCUCAGAUAAAAACUAGUAAGAAGCUAUCUGUGAAACUGCUUUGUAAUGUGUGGAUUCAACUCACAGAGUUACACUUUUCUUUUUAUUCAGCAGAUUGGAAACACUCUUCUGGUUUAAUUUGUGAAGGAACAUUGAGCCCUUUGAGGCCUACGAUGAAAAACCAAAUAUCCCAAUAUAAAAAUUAGA